UUGAUACUAUUAGGCUUGAGUUAAGAAGAGGUAAGCAGAAUUUAUGGUGUAGUAGUGAAAUGCUUAGAUAUCAUAAGGAAUACCAAUAGCGUAGGCAGCUUACUGGUCUUUAACUGACGCUGAGGCACGAAAGCGUGGGGAGCAAACAGGAUUAGAUACUCUGGUAGUCCACGCCGUAAACGAUGAUCACUCGAUAUACAUGAUACAUCAUGUGUGUCUAAGCGAAAGCGUUAAGUGAUCCACCUGGGGAGUAUACUCGCAAGGGUGAAACUCAAAGGAAUUGACGGGGGUCCGCACAAGCGGUGGAGUAUGUGGUUUAAUUCGAUAAUACGCGAGGAACCUUACCUGGGCUAGAAUGUGUUUUGCUACCUUGAGAAAUUGAGGGUUCCUUCGGGACGGAAUACAAGGUGCUGCAUGGCUGUCGUCAGCUCGUGCCGUGAGGUGUUGGGUUAAGUCCUAUAACGAGCGAAACCCUUUUACUUAAUUGCCAGCACGUAAUGGUGGGGACUUUAAGUAGACUACCCGUGUAAGCGGGAGGAAGGAGAGGACGAGGUCAAGUCAUCAUGGCCUUUAUGCCCAGGGCUACACACGUACUACAAUGGCAUGUACAAAGGGAAGCUACUUGGCAACAAGAUGCAAAUCUCAAAAGCAUGUCUCAGUUCGGAUUGAGGUCUGCAAUUCGACCUCAUGAAGUUGGAAUCGCUAGUAAUCGCGUAUCAGCAAUGACGCGGUGAAUACGUUCUCGGACCUUGUACACACCGCCCAUCAAGCCAUG
rnacentral:rRNA from 1 species